CCUACGGGUGGCAGCAGUGAGGAAUAUUGGUCAAUGGGCGAAAGUCUGAACCAGCCAUGCCGCGUGCAGGAAGACGGCUCUAUGGGUUGUAAACUGCUUUUGUACAAGGGCAAACCUGAAAACGUGUCUUCAGCUGAAAGUACUGUACGAAUAAGGUUCGGCUAACUCCGUGCCAGCAGCCGCGGUAAUACGGAGGAUCCAAGCGUUCUCAGGAUUUAUUGGGUUUAAAGGGUGCGUAGGCGGAUUGAUAAGGAAGUGGUAAAAGUUGGGGGGUCAACCGUAAGAUUGCAGUUGAAACUGGGAGUCUAGAGUACAGUAGAGGUGAGCGGAAUGCGUGGUGUAGCAGUGAAAUGCUUAGAUAUCGCGAGGAACUCCGAUGGCGAAGGCAGGUCACUGGACUGCAACUGACACUGAGGCACGAAAGUGUGGGUAGCAAACGGGAUUAGAUACCCGUGUAGUC
rnacentral:rRNA from 1 species